GUCUGCACCCAUGGCUGUUGUUCAUUUGGAAAGAUGUGCUUAUUGAAUGGGACAGGCCUGCUCGGUGGCAUUGGUGGGGUUGCUCCAAGACCUACUCUACUCAUCAUUCAAGGCUGUGCACUGCUUCUUUGCACAUAAGACAGCCUUCAAGAUAAAGACACCAUCUAUGUCACCUGCUUCAGGUGAGAAAUACGUGUAGAAGAGUUGCAGCUCUUGGCUCCCCAGUGAUAUGAAACAGCAAUUUUCUAGGAUAAACUAUAAGUUCAGAGAAAAUAGAAUCUCCUAGCAUGUCAAUUUUGGACACUGUGAGUGUCCGGCAAAGAAGGCUGUGAAUUGCUUCUGUCAGUAUGAUUGGCAUAAGCCCUUGAAACAGUUGACAGCUUGUAAUUCUUUUUACUGACUUUCAAAUU
rnacentral:lncRNA from 1 species